UCGCAGCCAAUUAAGCCAAUUGUGCUCUUUUCCCCAUGGGGGCCUGGUGUGCAAUGGCUACAAACAGCAGCCUCCUUGGUAGUGUAUGCAGCCUGUUGCCUGUAUGGGUUCCUCUAUGGGACCCUGGAGACAGCA